GACGAACGCUGGCGGCGUGCCUAAUACAUGCAAGUAGAACGCUGAAGGAGGAGCUUGCUCUUCUGGAUGAGUUGCGAACGGGUGAGUAACGCGUAGGUAACCUGCCUGUUAGCGGGGGAUAACUAUUGGAAACGAUAGCUAAUACCGCAUAAGAGUAGAUGUUGCAUGACAUUUGCUUAAAAGGUGCAAUUGCAUCACUACCAGAUGGACCUGCGUUGUAUUAGCUAGUUGGUGGGGUAACGGCUCACCAAGGCGACGAUACAUAGCCGACCUGAGAGGGUGAGCGGCCACACUGGGACUGAGACACGGCCCAGACGCCUACGGGAGGCAGCAGUAGGGAAUCGUCGGCAAUGGACGGAAGACUGACCGAGAAACGCCGAGUGAGUGAAGAAGGUUUUCGGAUCGUAAAGGUCUGUUGUAAGAGAAGAACGAGUGUGAGAGUGGAAAGUUCACACUGUGACGGUAUCUUACCAGAAAGGGACGGCUAACUACGUG
rnacentral:rRNA from 1 species